GACGAACGCUGGCGGCGUGCUUAACACAUGCAAGUCGAACGGUGAAGGGACUGGUUUUGCUGGUCCUGGAUGAGUGGCGAACGGGUGAGUAACACGUGAGUAACCUGCCCCCUUCUUCUGGAUAACCGCAUGAAAGUGUGGCUAAUACGGGAUAUUCUGGGUCUGUCGCAUGGUGGGCCUGGGAAAGAUUGCGCCUUUUUUGGUGUUUUUGGUGGGGGAUGGGCUCGCGGCCUAUCAGCUUGUUGGGGGGGUGAUGGCCUACCAAGGCGGUGACGGGUGGCCGGCCUGAGAGGGUGGACGGUCACACUGGGACUGAGACACGGCCCAGACUCCUACGGGAGGCAGCAGUGGGGAAUAUUGCACAAUGGGCGCAAGCCUGAUGCAGCGACGCCGCGUGAGGGAUGGAGGCCUUCGGGUUGUGAACCUCUUUCGCCAGUGAAGCAGGCCUGCCUCUUUUUGUGGGUGGGUUGACGGUAGCUGGAUAAGAAGCGCCGGCUAACUACGUG
rnacentral:rRNA from 1 species